AUUAAUGCUCUUGCGUGCCCUCAGAUGGCUGCGAGGGUGGAGAUAGGCUAGAACAAACAAUGACAAAUCAAUGACAUUGCAAGGGGGCGGGGCUUUCAACAGAGAAGAGUUCAGGCGACAAGCCGAGGUCCUGUGUCCCUAGUAGCUCGCCGUGAUCGUAUAGUGGUUAGUACUCUGCGUUGUGGCCGCAGCAACCUCGGUUCGAAUCCGAGUCACGGCAUUGUGAGGACAAUGGCACGGCAAGGGGAGUUUGUUUUAUUGUACCAAUCCGUUUUUAAUCCUGAGUUCACAACAUUGUGGAAAAUGGA
rnacentral:tRNA from 10 species